AAGAAUUUAAGUUAUUUAAACUUUUGGCCUUCAAAGUCUAGAAAAGAAAAGUCUUUCUAAUUCUUA
rnacentral:tRNA from 1 species